UAAAAAAAUAUAGUUGGCCAUAGAAUUCUUCACGCUGAAGAAAUCAAAUCUUUUAUAGUUUCGUUCUUACUUUCGGACAAGCACACAGAUAACAAAUGAAACUCUGACCCUCGCUUUGAAGGAUGGUGAAAAAUCAGUCGUACGUUGAUUGAUGGUGGUUGUUACUUGAGAAGCGAGAGAGUCUCCGGUGUGUUGUUACCGAAACUUUUUGCCAGUGACAUUGCUCUCUCAUCUUCUGCUUCCAGAAACCUGCUCUUCUUCAUCUAUCAAGAAUUUGUGGUAUUGAUAUCAAGGCAACGUUAAGGAGCGUUAUAUACAGUGACAAGGAUAAUAUUCCCAUUCCUAAAAGAUCACAGUUUGGUUCAUUGUAAUCACCUAGGAAAUGUCAUAAACGAAAAACACAAGGUAAAAUGUAUGUAACCAAAUGAUUGUAGAGGCUCAGUUCCUCUAGGCCAUCAGGCCCAAUGGCAAAGGAGAAGAGAUGUAAAAAAAAAAAAAAUCUAGUCAACAAUGUACACAUGUAUCUUGUCAGUUGCUCUAUGCACACAAAUAUCACAAGUAAAGAAGGAAAAAAUCGAUACCGUUGUGUUAUAAUUC